rnacentral:tRNA from 1 species
GAGGUUGUGGCUCAGUGGUAGAGCACUCACCUAGCAUGUGUGAGGCACUGGGCUCAAUCCUCAGCACCACA